rnacentral:piRNA from 1 species
UAGGAGCUGUGAACCUUGUUUUUAAGU